AGCUGCCUACGAAGGGCACGUCCUAGAUGACAGACUGUCAUAUACGUAUACAUGGGCACAGCUUUCUAUAACUCCUGCAGUGGAGGAGACAUUCCCACCAGAGGAGAAUUUAGUCCAUCAAUUGUAGGAAACUGAUCCCUUAGAAGACGUUGUGCAGCUGAAAUGUGUGUGUCAUAGAGCCAUUGCCCACCUAGCAACCUCAGUUCAUCUCCUCUGUCAAGCUGAAGAUGAGCACAUCCGACCACGAUGGCACUUGGGGGAGCACAGUUUCUUAUUUGCCCGGCAGCUACAUUUCUUCACAACGGUACAACUAUUGUUGCACUUACAGUCACUGGUCGAUAACGCGUUUGAUGGCUUGAUGGCUUUGUUGAUGGCUUUGUUGAUGUUGAUGGCUUUGUUGAUGGCUUUGUUGGUUGCUUUAAACUAGCAAGAUUCAUACAUUUUACUCCACGGUGGCACUUGCUGUGGCACACAGUACCAUUAUGAAGGCAUGGACACUGUCUUCCUGUCACACAUCCCU